UGCGUAGAGUGCUUGCAAAAUCUA
rnacentral:siRNA from 1 species